UACGUAGGUGGCAAGCGUUGUCCGGAUUUACUGGGCGUAAAGAGCGCGCAGGCGGUCGUUCAAGUCGCGUGUGAAAGCCCCCCGGCUCAACUGGGGAGGGUCAGCGCGAUACUGAUCGACUCGAAGGCAGGAGAGGGUAGUGGAAUUCCCCGGUGUAGUGGUGAAAUGCGUAGAUAUCGGGAGGAACACCAGUGGCGAAGGCGACUACCUGGCCUGUUCUUGACGCUGAGGCGCGAAAGCUAGGGGAGCAAACGGG
rnacentral:rRNA from 1 species